rnacentral:rRNA from 1 species
CUUGCUUCUUUGAUACUUAGCGGCGGACGGGUGAGUAACACGUAGGCAACCUGCCCUCAAGCUUGGGACAACUACCGGAAACGGUAGCUAAUACCGAAUACAUGAUUUGUUCGCCUGAACGAAUCUGGAAAGACGGAGCAAUCUGUCACUUGAGGAUGGGCCUGCGGCGCAUUAGCUAGUUGGUGAGGUAACGGCUCACCAAGGCGACGAUGCGUAGCCCGACCCUGAGAGGGUGAUCGGCCACACUGGGACUGAGACACGGCCCAGACUCC